rnacentral:rRNA from 1 species
GUUGUCGUCAGCUCGUGUCGUGAGAUGUUGGGUUAAGUCCCGCAACGAGCGCAACCCUUAAGCUUAGUUGCCAUCAUUAAGUUGGGCACUCUAAGUUGACUGCCGGUGACAAACCGGAGGAAGGUGGGGAUGACGUCAAAUCAUCAUGCCCCUUAUGAUUUGGGCUACACACGUGCUACAAUGGACAAUACAAAGGGCAGCGAAACCGCGAGGUCAAGCAAAUCCCAUAAAGUUGUUCUCAGUUCGGAUUGUAGUCUGCAACUCGACUACAUGAAGCUGGAAUCGCUAGUAAUCGUAGAUCAGCAUGCUACGGUGAAUACGUUCCCGGGUCUUGUACACACCGCCCGUCACACCACGAGAGUUUGUAACACCCGAAGCCGGUGGAGU